rnacentral:tRNA from 1 species
CGUAGCUCAGUUGGUAGAGCAGCUCCCUUUUAAGGAGAUGGUCGGGGGUUCAAAUCCCUCCG